rnacentral:rRNA from 1 species
CACGUAGGGGGCAAGCGUUGUCCGGAUUUAUUGGACGUAAAGGGCUCGUAGGUGGUUCAGUAAGUCGGGUGUGAAAACUUCAGGCUCAACCUGGAGACGCCACCCGAUACUGCUGUGACUAGAGUCCAGUAGGGGAGCGUGGAAUUCCUGGUGUAGCGGUGAAAUGCGCAGAUAUCAGGAGGAACACCAGUGGCGAAGGCGGCGCUCUGGGCUGGCACUGACACUGAGGAGCGAAAGCGUGGGGAGCAAACAGG